GACACACCGCCCCGCCGCGGAGGGAAAGCGUCCGGUGGGAGCGCGGACUCUGCGCACCGCAGAAAAUAUGAAAAAGCUACUUGAUCACCCGGAAAAUACACUUGAAGCUAAAGAUCAAUUCGUGAGCUAAACUUGCAAAGGAUUACCCUCUCCCCACCAUUGGAAAGAUGAAGCUUGCAAACACUGAACUUCAUGUCCUCAAGGACUAUUUGCUGAUUGGAACAGAUGUUGAGUGUAUAUAGUAAUGGAACCCUAAAUGGAUUGAAACCCCAAUCACAGAGUAUCAAUUAUUGCAAAAAUACAAUAACUGCUUCUACACAGAUGUCGAG